GACGAACGCUGGCGGCGUGCUUAACACAUGCAAGUCGAACGGAAAGGCCCUGCUUUUGUGGGGUGCUCGAGUGGCGAACGGGUGAGUAACACGUGAGUAACCUUCCCUUGACUUUGGGAUAACUUCAGGCAACUGGUGCUAAUACCUGAUAGGUGCUCCUGCUGCAUGGUGGGGGUUGGACAGUUUCGGCGGUUGGGGAUGGACUCGCGGCUUAUCAGCUUGUUGGUGGGGUAGUGGCUUACCAAGGCUUUGACGGGUAGCCGGCCUGAGAGGGUGACCGGCCACAUUGGGACUGAGAUACGGCCCAGACUCCUACGGGAGGCAGCAGUGGGGAAUAUUGCACAAUGGGCGGAAGCCUGAUGCAGCAACGCCGCGUGCGGGAUGACGGCCUUCGGGUUGUAAACCGCUUUCGCCUGUGACGAAGCGUGAGUGACGGUAAUGGGUAAAGAAGCACCGGCUAACUACGUG
rnacentral:rRNA from 1 species